rnacentral:rRNA from 1 species
ACAGAGGUCCCGAGCGUUAGGCGGAAUCACUGGGCUUAAAGCGUGUGUAGGCGGAUUUGUAAGUACCUUGUGAAAUCCCACGGCUUAACCGUGGAACUGCUUGGUAUACUGCUUAUCUUGGGCCACUUAGGGGUUACCGGAACAAACGGUGGAGCGGUGAAAUGCGUAGAUAUCAAGAGGAACACCUGAGGCGAAGGCGGGUUGCUAGGCUGACACUGACGCUGAGUGCGCGAAAGCCAGGGGAGCAAACGGGA